rnacentral:lncRNA from 1 species
UUCAUAGCGAUAGCUCAGCGGAGAUCCCUGCCCUAGCAAGACCAGACUUGUUAUUGUAUGUUUUGUCCCUUUAUAGAAUCCUAACUUUUAUGAGUUCGUGGGCUUACAACAAAAAUAAAAACUAUACCCUCAAUAAGAAAUUUAGGGGGGAGGUUUAUCAGAAGAUAUUUUAGUUUGUUAAAGCGGGAGUUGCGUUAAAUACUUGUUUUUUUGUUUUAUUUGACUUUGGAAAGAAGAACAUUAUGCUCAUCAUUUGUGUUUUUUAGUUUUUGUUGCAUUGACAAACUGAUAAUAUAAGUUCCAUUAUGUUGAUUAUAUUUAAGGGUUGUGAUAUAAUGAGUUCAAUUAUUGGUCGAUUAUAUCUAAAAGUCGUGGAUUAUGCCACGUAAGAUGGUAAAAGCAAGAGGCAAGUAUACUUAUUUUCUCUUGAAAAUGUUUAAAAAAUCUUCUAUUUUGGAGGGGAUAACACUUUUUUAUGUUCGAUGAAAUAUAUUUUUAAAUAUCGUUUAUCAUUUUUUUUUGGUAGAAGAAAAAAAUUAUGGCUCCGUGUAUAGCACGAGACAUGCAGAUGGGUUGGUUGGCGAAUUAUACUCCGUGUAACAUCCAUGUAGGUAGGUCGUCAAUAUCGUCAUUUAAUAGCGGUAUAAUACUACGUUAUCCAAUGAAAUGACUUGUCUCCCUUGUCAUUUAGGCUCCGUUUAGUAAUGCUUAAGAGUCAAUUUUUUUUUAAAUUUGCUUCUAAAAAAAUCAAGAUUUUUUUAUAUUUUUUUUUCUAACUUUACUUUAGCUAAAAAUAAAUAAAAAAUCAAAAAAAACAAAAAUUCUUUCUGGCUUUUUUGCUUAUAAGCUUAAAAAAAGUCAGCCGAAAAACUGGUACCAAACGGAACCUUAACAGUGAUAUUGUACAAUCUUAUUCAAUGAAAUUGGUUUUUUAUUGAAACUUCUGAAUUUUGUUAAUGGCCAAAAGUAAUAGUUUUUAUUUUUUUUAUAUUGUAAAAUAAAAGUAAUUUAUAGGAUAUAUAUAUAUAUAUACAAAGAUCGAUGUUUGAGUAAAUUCGCUAAUAAAAAUAAAAUAAAGCGAUUAACAUUGGAGAAAAGAGGAAAAGUAAAAAAUAUUAGUCUUUUAAAUAUAUUAAAAGUUUAAUAUAUGUAAAUGUUGUGUAUGCACAGAUACAUGUUUACAAAUUUAUUAAUUAUUAUUUUGUGAGUGGGAGUUCUUGUGGGUGACAAAUGUUGAUGAUUGCAACCAAACCAGUCUAAUGGUAGUAGCAAAUUGGCCAUAAUAGAAUUAUAAAAAUAUAUUAGUGGGAAAAAAAUUGAAGUGAUUUUUAACGGUAAAUUUAGAAAAGGGACAAUGGAUUAAAUGUGUGAGGAAAAAAAUUAGGAAAUCUUAUACAAUGCAGAAUAUUAAUGAAAAAAUAUUUAUUAGAAAAAUCAUUAAGGAAAAAACUGUAUUAUAAAAAAGGAGAAGCUUGAAAUGUAUUUGAAAGACAUAAGGAAAGAUGUCUUUAUAUUCUUUCUUUGUGGAAAGGAAUCCUAACUUUUAUGAGUUAGUAGACUUACAACACAAAUAAAAGCUAUACCUUCAAUAAGAAAUUUAAGAUUUAUUUUUUAUCGGAAGAUAUUUUAGUUUUUUAAAGCAAAAAUUGAGUUAAAUACAUUUUGUUCGUUUUAUGAUUAUUUUUUUUGUGAUUUAUUUGACUUUGGAAAGAAGAACAUUAUGCUUAUCAUUUGUAUUUUUCGUUUUGUGUUGCAUUGACAAAUAGAUAUAAUAAGUUCUAUUAUUAGUUGAUUAUAUUUAAGGGUUGUGAUAUAAUGAGUUCAAUUAUUAGUCGAUUAUAUCUAAGAGUUGUGUAUUAUGCCACAUGAUAUGGUAAAAGCAACAAGUAAGUAUAUUUUUUUCUCUUGAAACUGUUUAAAAAAUCCUCUAUUUUGGAGGGGAUAACACUUUAUUUAUGUUCGAUGAAAUAUAUUUUAAAUAUUGUUUAUCAAUUUUUUUUUUAGAAAAAAAAAUUUAUGACUCCAUGCAUAGCAAGAGAUAGUGCUAGUUGUUUCAUAUCCUUGAGAAUGUUUGUUACCAUAUAAAAAUUGUGUAUGAAUAUCACAUGAAUUCUGUUUUACCUAUUUGAAUAUCACAAUUGCGGGGUACAAGUGAAAUGUGCAAACAAAACUUAUUUGAUUCGUAAAUAUGUAACUUUUUAUGUUAUUGAGUGUAAGUUAAUUAUGCGAUCGAUGCAAGUAAAACAAGUUUUUUAAUAUUGGAAGGAGGGAAUAAUAAUUUUGGUGGGUCCGCUGCAAUUGUGAUAGUUCAAAAUCUCACUCCGCUGAAAUGAUAUAAUUAAGUUUGUCUUCUCUCCACCUAUCUGAAAUUUCUUCCCCUUUAUUUUAGGCAAAAUAUAAUUUUUUAACAAAUAGGAAAGGGGAAGGCAUGUCGUGCUAUUAAGCCCAACUUGGUUUUUGAAUUUAUGGUUGCCAGAGGAAGUACGGCCAUAGGCUAACAUUAUGUUUUUCAACCAUCUGCAGAUGGGUUAGUUGGCGAAUUAUAGUCCAUGUACCAUCCACUGGAUGUAGGUAGGUUUAAUAGUGGUUCAGUACAACGAGUAAAGGGCGAGAGGUGCUGUGCUAUUGAGCAUGGUUUUGAAAUUCGGACGGGAUUGGUCGGUUGAAUCGGUUGAACCGUCGAUCGAAUUAAAAAAUAAUUCGGUCAAUUCCUUUAACCCAGUUAGGAUAUAAAAUCAACAUAAACCGUGAAAAUCCAUAGUUAAACUGUUAAACCAUCGAAGCAGAUCGGGUUUUUGCGACCCGAGGUUCUCGAUCUUGUAGGUGGAGAUGAGAUGGAGGGUCUCGCCGACGAGAGAGAGACCGAGGGUCUCCGUCGGUAGCAAGGAGGGAUAGGAUUAGGAGGAUUGAAAGAGAGGGGAAGGGAAGGAAGAGGAAGAGGAGGAGUGAGAGAGGGGUGGAGUAGUGACAGUGUGUGAUAGAGAGAGAGAGGGGUAUUAAUGUGUGCUCACUAAAAUUUUGUUAUAAAAAACAAUAUUAUUUAUAAAUACAAUAUUAUCUAUAAAUUAUAAAUAAAAAGAUUAUAAAUAGUAAUAUAUGUUUAAUAUGUUUAAUUAUAAAUCCAAAAUAUCCAAACAAGGUAUACAAUGAUGGACAAUGGUUAUGUGGUGUGUGACAGUGUCUAUUGGACAUGAGAGUGUAGUGUGUGAUGGACAGUGGGUAUGUGGUGUGUGGCAAUGUGUAUUGGACACGAGGGUGUGGUGUGUGACAGUGUGUGAUGGAGAGAAAGAGAGUUAUAUAUAGAGAGAAAUAUCAAAAAAGUGAAGGAAAUAAAGAAGCAAAAAUAUUUUUUUGCAUAUUUAUAUAUUUUUAUUAUUUAUUAAAAAUAAUGUAUGACGUCAGGUUCGAUAACGGUUCAAUAAUGGUUAAUCCGACGAUUAAACCUGUGAUCCAUGACCCGAUUAUUUUUUUUUUGAUUGGCUCAACUAUCUGAUUUCAAAACAUUAGUUUUGGGUCCAUUGCCCAACGUGCUCAUUAGUUUGCUAUAUAUUAACAAUUGUCAGUUGUUUGGUUGGCAAAUUAUAGUCCAAUACAACAAGUCAUGUGCGAUCAUUUAAGGGUAGAAUAAUUGUAAUAAUUUACAUAAACACAAAUCUCACAAACUUUUCCAAUCAUAAUAAUAAUAUAUUUGAACGCAUCAUAUAAAUAUUUUUUACUGUGAAUAUUAUAGCUUCUCUUUUUUAUUUAUAUAUAUAUAUAUAUAUAUAUAUAUAUUAAUAGAUAAAUAAAGAAUUUUUGAUCAAACGCCUGAGAUACGAGAUAAGGCCCUUGGGCCUGAAACUCUGAGAGAGGAUGAGGAAGAGCAUAAGGUAAAGCCAAGGUACUAGAAAAGGAGAGGGGUUCGGGAGGAGGGACCCACAAUAAAGAUAUUAAGUUGUGUGGCACUAAAAGAUGAUGUCGUGGCACUAUUCACACCUCAUUGCAUAGUGUACCUUAUCAAUCAGAAAUGCUAUCAAUGCAAUAAAGGCACUUGCAUGCCAAGAAUUUAACGCGAAAUUUUUAUUUUGUAAAGCUAAAAUAUGAUUGAUGAAUUGAAGAGAUAAGUAGUUGACAAAUAUUAAAAACACUUGCAUAUCCACUUUAUAGUCAGUAGUAAAAAAAAAAUUUCUUUAUGAGGGUAUAGUUUUUAUUUUUAGGGAUAACUGCAUCACACCUCUGAGGUUUUUUAUUAAUUGUUACUGACCCUCCCUGUAGUUUUAAAAAUGGCCACUGACCUCCCAUGUAAGAGCAAAAAUGACCAUUAUACCCGCCCCCAGCCCCCACAGACCCCCACCCAACCCCACCCCACUCCACCCCUACGAUUUUUUUUAGUUUAUUUUAGUUUUUCUUUUAAUUAUGUUUAUUUACUUUUUAUAUAAGGGAGUUGGGUUGUAUAGUUUUUUUUGAUAAAGAUUUUUUUAUUAUAUGUUUGUAUUUUUUUUAAUUAAUUAAUUUUUAAUAAAAAAUAAAUAAACAUAAAAUAAAAAGGAGAACACAAAUUUAAGUUCACAAAUAAUCUGAUAAUUAAUUUAAAAAAUUGUACAAAACUUUUUGUUGAAGGUAAUAAAUUAUAAAAUAUCUUAAAACUCAUUAAUAAAACGCCAAUUUGGCCCUACUUUUUUUAAAAAAUUCAAAGUAUUUUAGUUUUGAGUUUUUUUAUUUUUAGAUGAUCAUUUAGCAAAUUUAGCGAAAGUAUCUAAACAUUUAGAAGUUUCGCAUCUAAUGUACUGAACUUUUAAUAUCUGAUUGGCAUAUUUAUUUGAAAGUCAAGAUUUAAUGACCAAGAGUAGCCUCUCACUUGGGUAUAUCAACUUAUUGAUGGGAAAGGGAGAAAAAAAAGAAACAAAGACAGGAAGCAGAAAGAAAGAAGCAACCAGGGGGGGAAAAAACAGUGGAAAAACAGGGAAAUUUAAUUAAUGAGGGUUUAAGAUAUUUAUAAUUUAUACCAUACAAAUAAAAAGUUUGUACAUUUUUAAAUAUAAUGAUCAGAGUAUUUGUGAACUUAAAUUGUGUCUUUUUUUAUUAAAAAAAUAAUGAAAACCCAAAAAUUAAAAAAACAACAAAAAUAUAAUUAAAAAAAAAAUGUAUCCAAAAAAAAAACUGUAAAAAAAUAAAUUAGAGAUUAAAAAAGUAAAUAAAAAUAAUUAAAAUAAAAACUAAAAAAAUAAAUAAAAAUCGCGGGGGUGGGUUGGGGUGGGUUGGGGUGGACGUGGGGGAUGGGGUAUAAUGGUCAGUUUUGUUCUUACAGGGGAGGUCAGUGCCAUUUUUAAAACCACAGGGGAGGUCAGUACAAUUAUGAAAAACCUCAGGGGGUGUGAAUGAAGUUAUCCCUAGUUUUUAUUUGUGUUGUAAGCCCACGAACUCAUAAAAGUUAGGAUUCUGUAAAGGGCAAAACAUACAAUAACAAGUCUGGUCUUACUAGGGCAGGGACCUCUGCUGAACUAUCAGCUAUGAAAAUUGUGGUUCCUCUGAACCGGAGCUCGGAAGACACCAUUGAACAUGGCAGUGCUAGGGGGGCAGGGGGCCUCCAACGACGGAUCGUUAAAAGUAAGCUCGGCGGUCCUCUGCACUGAAGCUCAGUGAAGACACUAUCAAACACUGCCGCUAUCCGAACUAAAUGCAACGUACUGCCGAGUAACACUAUGUAGCAAGCUCAAGAUAAUAACCGCACUAGAAGCUUGGACGAGAGGCAACGAUCGAAGGCAAUCUCGAGGGAUAUCAAGGACAAAAGGUAACUUGCACGUCAAAGUUUCUUUUGACAAUCUCCAUACCCAGAUAGAGACAUCGGCGUGAUGAUGACUAGCUAUCAGCCAAGUCUUAGGAGCAUGGAUGGGUCAGCCACUUACAUACUAACACACCGGUUGGUGAGUAUGAGUAUGCGUCAAGUUAUAGUCUGUCCGAUGACAAGACAGCUAGUGUGUCAAGACAUGCAUCGGGUUAUGCUAUAUAAAGCCAACUUUUCUUUCAUUGAAAGGUACACAUACUUUGGCUAUCUGAGCUUAUAUACACUUUCUCUCUCUACAUAUUCGGUAUUCUAACUUGACCGUCGAAGAGCCGUUUAACGAAAACAACUCUAGCGGCCGAACUUACUAUGUCUGUGUUACAAGUAGGGCAUCGGAGGUUGACUGGUUGAAGCUAUUACUACUGUCGUAGAACCACUGUGGGUGUCUAUCGUCGAUUUUCUUCCUCUCUCCUUCAAACACUACACCCCCACAAUUGGCGUCGUUUGUAGAAAAUCGAUUAUAGACAUUCGCAAAACUAGUACUGAUGGCAUCGUAAAGUAGCAACCAUUCCAAUAGUUGAAAAACUCGUAGGGAGGCUCCUGAUGCACCCAAAGCUCUUAGGGGCAAAGGAGUCAAACUAUUGGAUGAUGCCCAGAGGGCGGCCAGGGCCACCUCUAGAUAGAAUCUGAGUCAGUUACUCCCUGGAGGUGCAGACAGCCAGGACAUAACUAUUCAAUGCUUACAAAAUUAGUUGGCCAAAAUGGCGCAACGCUUGGCAAAAUCCGUCCUAGUAGCAGUAGUAGGACAUUCUAAAGAUAGGGUUAAAGAACCGACACUCCCAUCUUGGGAAGACCGAGACAAAAGACAACACCCAUCCCAUAUCAACUUGGAUAGCCGGACGGAUAGCAAAUUCGUAGCUUCGAAUAAGUGGAAGGGAUCUCCUAACUGAGCUGACUUUGGUAAGGAUCUCUAUGAGACGCUCAAUGGCAAACGAAAUUGAGAUUGUGACCUAUACAGUAGGCUCAAUGAUCAAAGGGCGGCGGCCUCUAACAAGUUGUUGCUCUUGUUGGGUCGAUAGCCCGCACGAUCAAACUCGAACAAAUGGACCUAGUCCCAAAGUCCUAGACUCCAUUUUCUUGAGAAAUCAAGGAAUUGGAUCCACCAAAGAAGUUCACAUUACUGAGGUUCACGCUGUAAGAUGGGAAGUCAAAUUUGAGAUCCCACAUGAGCCAUGUCAGGUAAAUGAUGGCUCUUUGAAACCACAUAUAUGCCCUAAUGUGCCGCGUAUUCCCAUCUAACUUAGGUGACGAAGGGUUGAAGUGGUUCAACAACUGCCUACGGGAUCAAUAUAGAGCUUCCAUUAGCUUAUUGAAUCAUUCAUAGCUCGGUUCAUGAUUAAUACGAAAGCACCUAAAGGCAUUAGCUCUCUUGAUGCUCCGAAAGGGCAAGAACGAGAUGAUUAGGAACUAUAGCAAGCGUUACUAGGAGACGUACAACGAGAUCGAGGAGUGCUCCGAGAUUUGGCAUGGCGAUCUACAAGCUCAGUUGACUCGAGGAAGAGACUUGUUUGGAUAAAUUGACGGUCCACCCGCCUAUUGACCUCUGGGCUCUCAUGUCCUAGGUCAAAAUACUCAUUUGGUGGAGGACAGACGUCAGAUAGGCAUAGGAAAGCUACAAGGACUGCAAACUGGGGCGAGGGGCCAAUUCAAAAGUGUAAGGAGAAGCUCGUUGAUUACAA